UACGUAGGGGGCUAGCGUUGUCCGGAAUCAUUGGGCGUAAAGGGUACGUAGGCGGUUAGAAAAGUUAGAAGUGAAAGGCUAUAGCUCAACUAUAGUAAGCUUUUAAAACUGUUUAACUUGAGAGAUGGAAGGGAAAGUGGAAUUCCUAGUGUAGCGGUGAAAUGCGCAGAUAUUAGGAGGAAUACCAGUGGCGAAGGCGACUUUCUGGCAAUCAUCAGACGCUGAGGUACGAAAGCGUGGGUAGCAAACAGG
rnacentral:rRNA from 1 species